AGGUGGAAGACUAGGUUCUAGACGCUGAAGAAGGACGUGGCUAACUGCGUUAAGCCUCGGCGAAGCGUAUGCAGCUUUUGAACCGAGGAUUUCUGAAUAGGACUUCCUCCUAGAAUCCGAAAGGAUAAGGAACGCAGGGAAUUGAAACAUCUUAGUACCUGCAGGAAAAGAAAUCAAUUGAGAUUUGGUGAGUAAGAGCGACUGAAAACCAAACAAGGCAAACCGAAUGAGCACUCGAAAGGGUGCUCGCAUGUGGUGUUUGGACCAGUCAUUAAACUUCCUAACUUGGAAACUUGAAGUCUCCUGGAACGGAGUGCCAUAGAGGGUGAAAGCCCCGUAGAGGCAACUAAGAAGGAAGCGACUGGUAUCCAGAGUACUGCUCCCUGGAUACGGAGUGGGAAUGUGGGUGGCAUCAACAUCCAACCUUAAAUACGUCUAGAGUCCGAUAGAGCACUAGUACCGUGAGGGAAAGUUGAAAAGAACCCUUGACAGGGAGUCAAAAGAACCUGAAACCUGAUAGGUAUGGAAUGGCAGGGCACUACGGUGUUCUGUCGUGCGUUUUGAAUAACGUGCCAGGGAGUUUGUCCAAGUGGCGAGCAUAACUCUAAAAGAGGGAUGCCCAGCGAAAGCAACAAGCGCGCAAGCAAUGAGGCGCGAGGUCUGAAAGGGCCUGAAGUCACUUGGGCCAUACCCGAAACCGUUCGAUCUAGCCCUGGAUAAGGUGAAGUGAGGGUAAAACCUCGUGGAGGCCUGAAGAGGUGCUACGUGCAUGUGUUCUUGUAAUCUGGGGCUAGGGGUGAAAAGCCAAUCGAGAGCGGUAAUAGCUGGUUCCUGCCGAAGUUGGCGUUAGUCAAGUCUCGAGCGAGACAACGGUUGUUGUAGAGCUACGGAUUGGGGAUUUAGGGGGAGAAAUCUUUCGGUUCCCUGUCCAACUCCGAAGGCAGCCGUGUUUUAGACCUCGGGAGACGGGGUGCCGGGGUAAGCUUGGCAUCCGAGAGGGGAACAACCCAGACUAUGGUUAAGGUCCCUAAGCGUUGGUUAAGUGUGAAAGGGUGAAGGGCGUCUGUGCCCAGAGACAGCGGGGAGGUUGGCUUAGAAGCAGCCAUCCUUUAAAAAGUGCGUAACAGCUUACCUGUCAAGGACGUAGGCCCUUAAAAUUGACGGGGCUAAACCAACCACCGAUACCAUAGACGACCCACAAGGUCGUGAUAGGCAGGCGUUCUGCAUGGACAGAAGCUUCUUUGAAAAAAGGAGUGGACCGGGUAGAAAUGAAAAUCCUGGCGGUAGUAGGAUCUUAGCAGAGUGAGAAUCUCUGCCACUGAAAGGGCAAGGGUUCCUUGGCAAUGUAGGUCAGCCAAGGGUUAGUCGAUCCUAACUGAACUCCUAAGUGGAGUUUAUGAGGAAAGGGAAACAGGUUAAUAUUCCUGUACUGUUCAAGUAUGCGUGGCAACACAAGUCCUGUUUUUGACACUUUCGGCUAGGCGAGCGUAGAUUGUCGUCUGCGUUAACCAGGAUAAAUCAAGGGAGUAUUGUAAUGAUGAGAACUUGAUUAAACCUGGGAAUAGUAGCCUUAUGGGUUAUCUCGCUGAUGCCCAGAGUCCAUGAAAAAAGAACAGGAAAAAAUCUUGGAUAUUCGUACCCAGAACCAGCACUGGUGCCCCUAGGUGAGAAGCCUAAAGUGUGAAGGAUUAAUUUGGUUGAGGGAAUUCGGCAAUUUAGCCCCGUGCCUUCGGUAUAAGGGGUCCCUGCUCUUGUACUCGCAUGAGCGCCAGAGCAGGGCGCAGUGACUAGAGGGGUCCGACUGUUUAACAAAAACACAACCUUCUGCAAAACCGUAAGGUCUCGUACAGAAGGUGACGUCUGCCCAGUGGCGGUAUCCGAAACUCUUUUUCAAAUAUUCCAAGUCUUAUCAAAUCAAACGACAAGGCUUGGGUAGAAAAUGGGAGCUAAGGACCGCUAAACGGCGGGAGUAACUAUAACUCUCUUAAGGUAGCGUAAUGCCUUGUCGUUUGAUUGACGACGUGCAUGAAGGGCGUAACGAGAUCCCUAGUGUCCCCAACCAAAAUCCUCCGAACACACCAUUCUGGUGCAGAGGCCAGAGAUCUCCAGUGGGAAGUGAAGACCCCGUGGAACUUUACUGUAGCUUGUUGCUGCGAUGUGAGUCUUGUUGUAUAGAGUAUGUGGGAGUCGUUUGAGGGUUUAGUCGUCAGGUUAGACCUGAGACAAAAGUGUAACACCACACUUCAAAACUUGCAUUGCUAACUUUUUUCGGAAAGGACACCUGCAGGCGGACAGUUCGGCUGGGGCGGCACGCUGUUGAAAACAUAUCAAUAGCGCCCAAAGGUUGGCUCAUUCCGGGCAGAAAUCGGAAGUAGAGUGCAAGGGCAAAAGCCAGCCUAACUGGAUUCUUAAACUGACGGAAUCCAAGGACGUAAGUCAGGCCUAGCGAACCUCAAUGUCUUCCUUGAUGGGAGCUUGGGAUGACCGAAAAGUUACCCCGGGGGUAACAGAGUUGUCGCGCCCGAGAGUUCACAGGAUCAAAGCACAAAGCUUUGUCCAGAACAGAUCGACGGCGCGGCUUGCUACAUCGAUGUCGGCUCUUCCUAUCCUGGCAGUGCAUAAGCUGCCAAGGGUGAGGGGGUUCACCUAUCAAAAGGGAUCGUUAGCUGGGUUCACAACGCUGUGAGGCAGUUGGUAUAAUAUCUACUGGAGAUGCUUGAUGUCUGAGGGGAAGGACGCCAUAGUACGAGAGGAACUGGCGUUCGAGGCCACUAGUUUACCGGUUAUCUGACAAGGUAUCAUGCCGGGCAGCCACGCCUUGAGGGAUAAGUCCUGAAAGCAUCUAAGGAUGAAGCCCUCCUCGAAAAGAGAUGUCA
rnacentral:rRNA from 1 species